GGAGGGGGCAAGCGUUGUUCGGAAUUACUGGGCGUAAAGGGCGCGUAGGCGGGAAGAUCAAGUCAGGGGUGAAAGGCCUGGGCUCAACCCGGGAACUGCCUUUGAAACUGGUUUUCUAGAGUACGGGAGAGGAUGGUGGAAUUCCCAGUGUAGAGGUGAAAUUCGUAGAUAUUGGGAAGAACACCAGUGGCGAAGGCGGCCAUCUGGCCCGGUACUGACGCUAAGGCGCGAAAGCGUGGGGAGCAAACAGGAUUAGAUACCCUGGUAGUCCACGCCGUAAACGAUGUGUGCUAGCCGUUGGGGCCUCAGGUCUCGGUGGCGCAGCUAACGCGUUAAGCACACCGCCUGGGGAGUACGGCCGCAAGGUUA
rnacentral:rRNA from 1 species